UACGAAGGGUGCAAACGUUGCUCGGAAUUAUUGGGCGUAAAGCGCACGUAGGCGGCAUUGCAAGUCGGAUGUGAAAUCCCUCGGCUUAACCAAGGAAGUGCAUCCGAAACUGCAGUGCUUGAGUACUUAAGAGGAUCGCGGAAUUCCCGGUGUAGAGGUGAAAUUCGUAGAUAUCGGGAGGAACACCAGUGGCGAAGGCGGCGAUCUGGGAAGAUACUGACGCUGAGGUGCGAAAGCGUGGGGAGCAACCAGG
rnacentral:rRNA from 1 species